rnacentral:lncRNA from 1 species
ACCAAGCAUCAAGGUAGCAAGGCUUCAUACAUAGAACAGGCUGACAUGAAAAACAGGAAAGUUUGUAAGCCAAGACGUUGAUAUGGUAGGCCAUAUUCCUGUGUUUCAUGCUAAAGAUAACAUAACGGAGAGGAUGGUAACGGAGAUAUAAGUAGAAAGAAGAGGCUGCAAGAACACACAUACCACUUUCGCAUGCUCAUUGGAAACUUUGACUGAGCUAGGACUGUAAUAUGUUUGAUGAAUUGGACCCUUCAACAGUCGGCUCACUCCUACGUUUAUCAAAUUCUCAUUAAAAGGAUUACCUGGGAAGCAUGUAUCUAUAUUUAUAUGAACAUGAAUAGAAACUAUACAAGAUAGAAUGAAGAAACAGAGGUUUCACAGAUUUAAGCACAAUAGGAUAUAAAUUUGUUUG